rnacentral:rRNA from 1 species
CGGAGGGGCUAGCGUUGUUCGGAAUUACUGGGCGUAAAGCGCACGUAGGCGGACCAGAAAGUCAGGGGUGAAAUCCCGGGGCUCAACCCCGGAACGGCCUUUGAAACUCCUGGUCUUGAGGUCGAGAGAGGUGAGUGGAAUUCCGAGUGUAGAGGUGAAAUUCGUAGAUAUUCGGAGGAACACCAGUGGCGAAGGCGGCUCACUGGCUCGAUACUGACGCUGAGGUGCGAAAGCGUGGGGAGCAAACAGGAUU